rnacentral:rRNA from 1 species
GAGGAAGUAAAAGUCGUAACAAGGUUUCCGUAGGUGAACCUGCGGAAGGAUCAUUACUAGAGCAAAGGAUAGACAGCGCCCGCGGAGCUCGCUCCCGGGGCCACCCUACUCCCGUAGGGUUUAGAGUCGUCGGGCCUCUCGGAGAAGCUCGGUCCUGAACUCCACCCUUGAAUAAACUACCUUUGUUGCUUUGGCGGGCCGCCUCGUGCCAGCGGCUUCGGCUGUUGAGUGCCCGCCAGAGGACCCCAACUCUUGUUUUUAGUGAUGUCUGAGUACUAUAUAAUAGUUAAAACUUUCAACAACGGAUCUCUUGGUUCUGGCAUCGAUGAAGAACGCAGCGAAAUGCGAUAAGUAAUGUGAAUUGCAGAAUUCAGUGAAUCAUCGAAUCUUUGAACGCACAUUGCGCCCUCUGGUAUUCCGGGGGGCAUGCCUGUUCGAGCGUCAUUAUAACCACUCAAGCUCCCGCUUGGUAUUGGGGUUCGCGGUUUCGCGGCCCCUAAAAUCAGUGGCGGUGCCUGUCGGCUCUACGCGUAGUAAUACUCCUCGCGAUUGAGUCCGGUAGGUCUACUUGCCAGCAACCCCUAAUUUUUUUAAGGUUGACCUCGGAUCAGGUAGGGAUACCCGCUGAACUUAAGCAUAUCAUAA